GACGAACGCUGGCGGCAGGCUUAACACAUGCAAGUCGAACGCAUGCCUUCGGGCAUGAGUGGCAGACGGGUGAGUAACGCGUGGGAACCUACCCCUUGGUACGGGAUAGCUCCGGGAAACUGGAGAUAAUACCGUAUGUGUCCUGAGGGACAAAGAUUCAUCGCCAAGGGAUGGGCCCGCGUCGGAUUAGCUAGUUGGUGGGGUAACGGCCUACCAAGGCGACGAUCCGUAGCUGGUCUAAGAGGAUAAUCAGCCACAUUGGGACUGAGACACGGCCCAAACUCCUACGGGAGGCAGCAGUGGGGAAUAUUGGACAAUGGGCGCAAGCCUGAUCCAGCCAUGCCGCGUGAGUGAUGAAGGCCCUAGGGUUGUAAAGCUCUUUCACCGGUGACGAUAAUGACGGUAACCGGAGAAGAAGCCCCGGCUAACUUCGUG
rnacentral:rRNA from 1 species